rnacentral:rRNA from 1 species
UACGGAGGGUGCAAGCGUUGUUCGGAUUUAUUGGGCGUAAAGCGCGUGUAGGCGGCCGCCUAAGUCAGACGUGAAAUCCCUCGGCUCAACCGGGGAACUGCGUCUGAUACUGGGUGGCUUGAAUCCGGGAGAGGGAUGCGGAAUUCCAGGUGUAGCGGUGAAAUGCGUAGAUAUCUAGAGGAACACCGGUGGCGAAGGCGGCAUCCUGGACCGGCAUUGACGCUGAGGCGCGAAAGCCAGGGGAGCAAACGGG